GGCUUUCCCUCAACUUUUAUAAUGACUUCAGGCUCUUGGGAGCCCAACUUAAGUUGAUGGAACUUGGUCUCUCCUAUCCAUCCAGGCAUGACAGGGCUCCUGGAAGCUAAGCCUGAAAAGACAAUAAGUGAAGAUGGCUGCAAUCAAUGGUCCAACAGAAAUGUCCAGAGAGGAGUUGGAGACCCAAUAUACAGAAUCAAAAUGCUACAGGAUAACUUGGUGCAGUCACAGGCAGUCUCUAAAGUUCUUCGGCAAGUAACAGACAAAACCCUGGCUCUGGAGGAUCAUUCUCUU
rnacentral:lncRNA from 1 species